CUACGGGCUGCAGCAGUAGGGAAUCUUCGGCAAUGGACGGAAGUCUGACCGAGCAACGCCGCGUGAGUGAAGAAGGUUUUCGGAUCGUAAAGCUCUGUUGUAAGAGAAGAACGAGUGUGAGAGUGGAAAGUUCACACUGUGACGGUAUCUUACCAGAAAGGGACGGCUAACUACGUGCCAGCAGCCGCGGUAAUACGUAGGUCCCGAGCGUUGUCCGGAUUUAUUGGGCGUAAAGCGAGCGCAGGCGGUUAGAUAAGUCUGAAGUUAAAGGCUGUGGCUUAACCAUAGUACGCUUUGGAAACUGUUUAACUUGAGUGCAGAAGGGGAGAGUGGAAUUCCAUGUGUAGCGGUGAAAUGCGUAGAUAUAUGGAGGAACACCGGUGGCGAAAGCGGCUCUCUGGUCUGUAACUGACGCUGAGGCUCGAAAGCGUGGGGAGCAAACAGGAUUAGAUACCCGCGUAGUC
rnacentral:rRNA from 1 species